AGUGAACGCUGGCGGUAGGCCUAACACAUGCAAGUCGAACGGCAGCACAGUAAGAGCUUGCUCUUACGGGUGGCGAGUGGCGGACGGGUGCGGAAUACAUCGGAAUCUACUUUUUCGUGGGGGCUAACGUAGGGAAACUUACGGUAAUACCGCUUACGACCUACGGGUGAAAGCAUGGGAUCUUCGGACCUUGCGCGAUUGAAUGAGCCGAUGUCGGAUUGGCUAGUUGGUGGGGUAAAGGCCCACCAAGGCGACAAUCCGUAGCUGGUGUGAGCGGAUGAUCAGGCACCAUGGAACUGAGACACGGUCCAGACUCCUAAGGGAGGCAGCAGUGGGGAAUAUUGGAAAAUGGGCGAAAGCCUGAUCCAGCCAUGCCGCGUGUGUGAAGAAGGUCUUCGGAUUGUAAAGCACUUUAAGUUGGGAGGAAGGGCAGUAAGUUAAUACCUUGCUGUUUUGACGUUACCAACAGAAUAAGCCCCGGCUAACUUCGUG
rnacentral:rRNA from 1 species